rnacentral:lncRNA from 1 species
CUUCCAGAUCUCUUGGUCGAAUUCUUGCAGCUAGCUGCAUGCAGAAUACUGUUCGAGCAUCCCUCUCUUCAGGGGUAAGAUUAUCAAUAGGUUCUCUAACAGGGCUCUUGUCUUUUCUGAAGGGACUUUUGCUUCUGGAACGCCGCCUUAAUUUGAUGCUGUGAGGCAGACCAAUCUUCCCUCUGAUGGCACUGUUGAAUUUGGGACCAGAAUAGGGACUCCUAUAGCGGCCUCUGAAUCUGCGAUCCCUGCUCCUGGAACGGCUGCGUCUGCGCUCCUUGCUUCUGCUCCGCUUCCUUUCCCGGCUUCUGCUCUUUUUUCUUUCCCGAUCUCGGCUCCGCUUACGCUCCUUGCUUCUGCUCCUCUUUCUGUCAUGGCUUCGACUUCGGCUCUUGCUCUUUUUUCUCUUCUUGCUGCGUUCUUCGUGGCCAUUGGCACUGCUCAAUUUGUUCUCAUCC